GCCCCCAUAACUCAAUUGGUAGAGUAACUGCCUUUUAAGCAGUAAGUUGAAGGUUCGAGCCCUUCUGGGGGUACAA
rnacentral:tRNA from 3 species